ACUGAAGCCACCGAACCGUUGACAAAAACCCAAAGCCCCGAAAAAAGUGGAUAGAGGAGCGAAAACAGUCAGUUAGCCAAAAUCUUCAGUUUCAGUUUGGAAAAAACAAUAAAUGGAGACUGUGCGAAGCUUAUAAUGAGCUACAAGGGCUAGCACCGGAGCUGAAGACUCCAUUUGACCCACCGGCGGUGUUACUGGUUGGCCAGCAGACCGAUGGAAAGAGGUCACGCACUGGUGGAAGGUCUCAUGAGUUGGCGGUGGCACCAAAUCUCGUCGCCCCAUUAUUCUCCAUAUGAAAUAUGAUCCUGAAUGCGAGGUCCCUUCUUGCUAUCUUGUCUCUGAUGAUGACGCUUCUUUUUCCCAGGAGAAAUCUCUCCAUGAAAUUCAGAUUGAUCCUGAGCUCUCAAAGACUGUUGUUGGCUCAAUUGACACGAGAAUACCCUAGUUUGCUCGCUCAUCUGACGUUGAAGUAUUCCUUUCACUGCCAGUUAAUACACCUGAUGAUUUCAUGGUGGCCGGUGGGCGGGUCUCCCUUCUUUACAACUCUUCCUUCUGGAAGAGUUGGUUCUGCCCAUGAUUCAGUUUAUAGCUCCAAUGAUGAGUUUAAGCAGGUUUGGUUUCAGUUUGUGAGAAUACUGUAUUCUUUACUUCUGUAUUUUUCCUUAUUCUUGUUGCCUUCCGCACGUGUUGCAUUAUGUGUAGAUCCUAGAUUUACAGGCUUGAUGCUGGAUGUUUUUCCUUUCCUCUUUUAAGUCAUUAAGUGUCUUAAUAAUUUCUUGUGUGUAAGUUGUGUUCCAUAUUUGUCUUAAUGAUUUCUUGUCUGUAAGUUGUGUUUCAUAUGCAUGAUACGAGGGGAUUCUUUUUUAAUGAUUAGUAUUAGGACACAGAUAAAAAAACAUGAGCCAAUUGCCAUACCCAACUGAUAUUAAAUGUUGAACAGUUCGGUAAUCUCAAUGAAAGGUUGACAAUUUUGCAAUUUAUAUGUAGAAUGCAGGGAUGCGCUUUUAUGGGGGUGCACUAUAUCAUCAUGCAAUGGCAGAAUUCUGUUUUGUUGCUGGGGGGAUCAACUGUCCUCAAAUUACAGGUGAAGAAAUUGCGAAUGCAUGUGGAGUUGAAGAUAUCCAUGAUGGAACUAACUACUCUAGGUAUCCUUGAGAUUGCUUGCUCUUUACCCAGGUGGGAUCACAUGGAAUGUAUCUUUAUAAAUGAUUUAUAUGACAACUUUUGGGAUUAAUUCCAAAUUAUUUUCUUUUGCUGCUUUCAAGUGCAUCCUGUCUAUAGUGAACCAGCUUCUUGCAACUUUUCUUUCUCCUUGCAUCUACAUCUUUAAGCCUUGCAACAAAAAUUUGGAGUAAAUACACUGGGGUUUCAUCACAGACCAUGUCCAAGCAAAAGCCAGCUUCUGAAGAAGCAUGUCUCUUAACAGGGAGAAUCUAUCCACUUGGUGCUUUCAAGCUUUGAACAAAAGUUUUAACUGAAAAUCUGGCAUUCCUAGAAUGAAUGAGAAUCAAUUCAACAUGUUUCAAUUUAAGAUAUUAAUGCAAAAUGUAUCUCAUGAUAAUGUCAGUGAUUAUCUCAUAAUUUUAGAAACAUAAUUUUGGAAAGAAGGUUACUAUAUGUUUGCUAAAAUUUUUAGGGAUUGUAUAGUUAUUGUCCCACUCAAGAAGAAAUCUAGAAGGGAAGUUAUAAGAAAAUAUACUUUAAAGUUACUAGUUUGUUUAUGAAAAAUGAAAUCUGAAUGAUAUUUUGCAAGAGAAAUGAUGAAUGUUAUAUCAUAUUCUUAAUGAUAUAGCUGUCCCAUUUUCUUAAACAUGGGGAGAAUGAUGAGCUUUUCAGAAAAUUCUGGCUGUUUGUCUUAUUGUAAUUAAUCUUUGUCCUAUCAUGCUAUCUUUUCAGACGCUUCAGAGAAGUCUGAGCACUAUAAUGUAUGCUCUUUCUCUUUCCCUGCGUCAACUGAAUGGAAUUAUGCAAUAGCGGUAUAGAAUCUUGCUCAUGUAAUUAGUUUUAGUUGGAUUCAUUCUCCUAACUUUCAAUCAAUAUAUUUGAUCAUUCUGUAAAGUAUGAUUUUUGUGUACAUAAAUUUUGGACUAUGAAAGCAGCAGUCCUGUUUUUUGUUUGCUUCAGCAUGUAAGUUGUAAAAUUUGGACACGUCUUCUGGUACAGUUGACUUUUUAUUUCAAAACUAAUAUCCAUCCUCCUUCGAUGCAGUAAGGUUGUAGGCUUUUGUGUGUCUUGAAGAGAUUACUUCCAAUCUCUGUCUAUCUUCUUCAAGUGUGGGUUCUAUGUUGGUCUUUAUCCUUUAAAUCUUUAGGACAUUCUGAAUUGUCAUUUCAUUCAUUCUUUUAUCUCGUACCUGAACUUGUUUGUAACAGAAAGAUGGUGAGUAUCGAAGUGGUCAAGAUGUAUUCCUCAAGCGUGUUGCUUCUGCCUUCAGCAACUUCACAGAAUCUACAAAAAGGGCAUGCCAUGAAAAUUUUUCUGCUUGUUUCUUUUACAACAGUUCUGUUUUCUGUAUAUAUAAUAAAAAACUGCUAACCCUUGAUUUAGUUCUCUGAGAUAUCUUUCUACCAUGGCGGGCUAGAGUGGUUUGAAAUUCAAAAUUUCCAAUGUACUGAGUGCCUAAGGAGCAUUGUAGAAUAGAUAAAAAAGGUAAGAGAAUAGCAUACACAAAACAACACUUGAAAUGGUACCCCCCCAAGUUUACCUAGACAAAGCAAAGCAUGGCAUUUCGUCGUUGGUGUUCAUCAAGAGUUUUGUACUUGCCGUUUUUGUUUUAUUUUCUGCAGAUACGUGGAAGAUUUAGAAAGCACCACACGUAAUGUAACACCAGAGUUUACCUAGACAAAGCAUGACACUUCGUAGCUGGUGUUCAUCAGAGUUUAUUUUGUACUUGCUGUUUUUGUUUAAUAUUUGCUGCAGAUUCAUGGAAGAUUUAGAAAGCACCAUGCGUAAUGUAACACCACAAAAAGUGUAUAGAAUCAGGCUAGGCUACGCCAAUUCUGGACUCCUUUGGUGGAACAGAGCAGUUUGCCAAUGAGAAGCAUGGCAAUCAACCAAGCGCAGAUGUCAAGCUCAGUCGUUUGGCUUCAGGCAUUGACUCAAGCUCAGCAGUUCAGAUAACAGAGACGCGCCUUGCAGAUCUUCUAGACAGACUGCCCUUUCAUCUGGAAGAAUUGUUUAUGCCCUUGUUCAACAUAUAUAUUUCAUUUUUAUUAUUUUAAAAUAGUAUUUAAAAAGCCGUCAUAGGUGGAG